rnacentral:rRNA from 1 species
UGGGGAAUAUUGCACAAUGGGCGAAAGCCUGAUGCAGCAACGCCGCGUGAGUGAUGAAGGUCUUCGGAUUGUAAAGCUCUGUCUUUUGGGACGAUAAUGACGGUACCAAAGGAGGAAGCCACGGCUAACUACGUGCCAGCAGCCGCGGUAAUACGUAGGUGGCGAGCGUUGUCCGGAUUUACUGGGCGUAAAGGGUGCGUAGGCGGAUGUUUAAGUGAGAUGUGAAAUACCCGGGCUUAACUUGGGUGCUGCAUUU